UAAAAAAUUAAAAAAAAAAAAAGAAAAUCUACUACCUCCAGUGGGAGUGUGUGGCAUCUGAGAGCCUGAGCUUUGGAACCAAACUGAACUGAGUUGGACUCAUGGCUCCACCGGUAAACAGUUUUGUCACCUUCUAAAUUAAUCUUCUAGAUUGAGCAACUAAAUUUAUCUUCCAGAGUAGAGGUCAGUAAACUUUUUCUGUAAAGGAUUAGACAGUGAAUAUUUUAGGUUGUGCAGGCCAUGUAUGGUCUUUGCUGCCAGCAACUACUCAAUGUAAAUAAGCAGCCAUACACAUAGACAACGGCCAUAGACAACAGCCAUAAAAGCAGCCAUAGACGACACAUGAAUAAAUGAAUGAGGCUGUGCUCCAAUAACAACAGGCAGUGGCCGGAUUUGGCCCCCAGGCUGCAGUUUGCCCACCUCUGCUCUAUGGUUCUCAGUUCCUGCAUUUGUAAGAUAGACAAUACUUAUAACUACCUCAUAGGGUUGUUGUGGGAAUAAAUGGGGCAAUGUGUCGAAUUCUUUGCUCACUGCCUAUGUAUAAUAAGUAGCCAGUAAAUGUUUUUUAUUGAUGUGGCUGUUGAGAUACGUGCUGAGAAUGCAGAAUAAGGAAGUCACAUUUAUUGAGCACCUGCUAUACACACAGUAGGGCCAACUCUUAAUGGGACAGGACUUCAUUUGUUAUUAGUUACUUAAGCAAAACAUCUCAUGUUGGCACAGAGCUUCAUGCUUUGAGUCCAUUAGCUCGUUUCAUCUUCCCGGUGACUCUCUGGGGUAAAUUUCUGAAUCAGGAAUCCAGGCCUCCAAGUUCCUUCUGCGAGGGAGAGCAGAGGCAAUUUUUGAAACCUCAACCGUCUUAUUCCAAAGUCUGGGUUCUCAACCGGGGGUGGUACUGCCUGCCUUCUCCAACCCGUUCCCUCCAUCCUGGGAGAUGUGGAAAGUCAGGGGCUGUUUUGUGCGUUGGGGGAGUUAAAAGAAUGAGGAAGCACUGCUGGAUUUUAAUGACCAGGGUCCAGUAAUGCUAAAUGCCUGGCAGACUUGUUUAAAUGUCUGUAAAACAAAAACUAUCCAGUCCCAAAUGGACUCCCAAAUGUCAGCAGCGCUCCACAUCUUGCUGCCCAGAUGCAACUCCAUUGUCACCUUCCCUUGAGCAGCUCACAGUCCUACAGAAGAGGGCAAAUGGAGCAGAGUGGUCAGAGCGAGGAUAGAUGGAGGUAUCCCUCGAGGGCAACGUGGUAUGGGGAGGAUGCCCUCAUUUCUUCUGAGAGUGGUAGAGACAGGGGGUGCAUGUUGUUAAAUUUUAAGUUUAGAAGAUUCUUUCUGUUUCCCUCUAAAUCUGCAUGAAAGGUGUGGAGUAGAAAGGGCACUGGACUGUCAGAGGCUAAAACCACCAACUUGACCACUGUGCAAGUAAGGCAACUGGCUUGACCUCUCUGGGCUUCAACAUUCUUGGAGUGAACUGGCUUGACCUCUCUGGGCUUCAACAUUCUUGGAGUGAAAAGACAAUCAUAACACACGCCUGUCCCCUUGCAGGGCUGUAGCUACGGUCAGAUGGAGCAACAGAGCGAAAGUACAUACCUCUGUAUGAAGGGCAGGUGUGUUACUUAGUGAAUUGUAAAGCAAUUGUCAACGCAAUAAAACUCUUCCUUUUUAAAUCUUAAGUUUGGUUUCUAAAGGCUGCGUGGAGCUUUUCUCUAACAGCCCAGGUGCAGAUGGCUGCCACGGGCUGUUCCUCCUGCCCCAGAAAUUGAGAUUUUGCUUUGAUUGCAUCUCCAGCAAAACCAGCCAGGGUGAAAAAUUAGCCCAGGAGAGAGUAGCUUUGCUUCCUGUUGGCCAUACCUCCUCAGAGUCAUAGAGAAGGCAUCCAUUCCCAGCCAGAGACUGAGCCAGAAAAGGGGCUGGAACAGCUUGAGGGGGGUUACCUGUAGGUCAGGCUCCACAAGCUGGUUUCCCCCCAGGAACUGAGGGGAGGGGUUAAUAGUUCCUUUGGCCAAAACGUCAAGCUGGAAUCAAUCUAUAUAAAUGUCAAGCUUGCUCUGUAUGCAAAAAUGAGGAGGUCAUCAUAGCAGAAAUGUACUGACGUUUUCUCUACAGGACUCAGAUUUCUCUUUUUCUACUCAGAGCCCAGAUGGCAGUGGGGUUCCUUGGCUCUGGAGAUCUAGUUAAUUGUGGUCCUGCCUCUGCAAUUCCACACCUUCUGAAGCUUUCCCCAAACUCUCUGCAGGGGUCUGGGGACGCUGCCUCAAGCAUCACAUGGCCUGUCCCCCUGCAUGCUCUUGUCAACCCAGCCAUGAAACUUGAUCCAUUCUCUAGUUCCAAAAACAAAAACAGAAAAAAACAAUUCCAGAAGGAUCCCAAAGAGAGAGAAGAAUUUGAUGACAUUUCCCCAUGCCAAUACAAUACACAACUUUUUUUUGCAGCAAACAGGUGUUGGAGUCCAACUUCUAGAACCCAACUCCCUUACUUAUAUAAUGGGGUGACCUCAGGAAGUCCCUUAGCCACUGGAUUCAGUAUUUUCAUCUGUCAAUGAGGCUAUCAAUCUAAUUAAAAAGCUGUUGUGAGGACUCAAUUAAAUUUGUCACAUAAAUGGCAAAAACAUAAUACAUGCCCACUUCAGCUAGAGCUCUUAGCUACAGAGUGAUUUGUUUAAAUCACCUUAUUUAAAAGGAUGUGGAGGCUGGCUUAAGUGCGAAGUCCAGCAACCUGUCAUGUGUAGGCAGAAUUGGUUCAGAGCUCUGGCUCUGCUUCUUUUCAUUCCCAGGACUCUUCUCUCGUCUAUAUAAUUGUUUUCUUUUCUGUCCUCCACCCUUCCUCAUAGUCAUAAAAUGACUGCAGCUGUGCCAGGUAUCACAUCUACCUUCUGCAGCAUCCAUGGCUUUUGUUCCAUGGUUUUCUUUGCCAUGGAACAAAAGUCCUGGGUUUUGCUCUGAUUAUAACACUUAAGGUCAAGUUUCCAUUUCAGAAGUCAUCAUUGAGGCUGGAGGUAUCCAUUCCAUGAGUGGUUAGGCAUAGGUGACAGAGGGGUGGGAUUAUGCUAUGUACCCUUUGAGGCACUCCAAAGUUCAGGUUCCUCCAUGUACAAUCCUGUCUUCACAUCUGUGUCCCCAAGCUUAGCACAAUGUUUGACACACAAGGAGACACUCAGUAAGAGCUUCUUAUUGAAUGAAUGAUGCUCAUUGAAUGCAGAUUAUAAAAUCUAAGGAGAGAAUAAGUGUGUGUGUGGGGUUAGAACAUCUAAUCAUUCUCUGAAUCAGUUGCUCAGUUAGUGGUAAUUUCCCAGAUAUUCUUUUCAACGUUUAAAAAUGGGUACUUAUUUCUCUCCUCUACUUUUUCGUACUUUUUUUUUUUGAGACAGUGUCUCACUCUGUUGCCCAGGCAGGAGUGCAGUGGCAUUAUCUUGGUUCACUGCAACCUCUGCCUACCAGGCUUAAGUGAUCCUCCCACCUCAGCCUCCUGAGUAGCUGGGACUACAGGCAUGCACCACCAGGCCCAGCUAAUUUUUGUCUAUUUGUUUGUUUAUUUUGGUAGAGAUGGGGUUUAACUAUGUUGCCCAGGCAGAUCUUGAAUUCCUGGGCUGAAAUAAUCCACCUGCCUCAGCCUCCCAAAGUGCUGGGACUGCAGGGAUGUGCCACCACGCCUGGCCUAUUUCUUUGCUUGGUCAUGUCUCCCCAUCUCACACCCUCACCACCCAUAGAAAUAAAGGAGGAUAAGGGUUUUGUUUUGUUCACUGCUGUAUCCUUAGGACUUAGAAUAGUGACUGGGACAUAGUAGGUGUUCAGUUAAUGUCUGUGAACAAAGUAAAAAAUAUGCUUACUCUUUACUCUCAUGAAGCUUCUUUCCUGCCGGGCUGUGUGCAGUGGCUGGCUGUGUACCACAUCAGCCCAGAGCAGUAGUUACAAUAGAGGUUCCCAAGUCAUCUCCUUCAGAUGCAUGAAUUUGAAUUUCUGGGGGAGGGUCCUGGGAAUUUUUAUUUGGGGGCCACUGCUUUAGAUGACCAAGUAUUGUUCAGGUUAGGGACUGGCAGAAAGGCUUUUUUUCGCUACUUCAAAAUCUUGUGGCUGAUCAUCUGUGCUUUCAAGGGGACAUUAAUAGCUUCAUCCUUGCAGGCAGGAAGCUCUUAAAAACUAUUAGUUGAAAGGAAGAUUAAAUGAAACCUGUACUUAAUUAUCACAACUUUCUUUUUUUUCUUUCAAGACACCCGGAAGGUAAUUAUAACUUUCUUGAUGCAGUAGAGGAAUCACUGGUCUGAGACAAAUAGAACUGGGUUUGCACUCCAGUUGUUGCUACUUCCGAGGGAGGGCAGUCUUUGAGCCCCAGAUUCCUUAUCUAUAAAAAGGGACUACUAGGUCGUACACAAAGCCUGAGCCCUGUCCUCUCCUCUCCUCCCCGGGCAGCAUGAGCUUCACCACUCGCUCCUCCUUUUCCACCAACUACCGGUCUGUGGGCUCCGUCCGGGUGCCCAGCUAUGGCGCCCGCCCGGUCAGCAGCGCGGCCAGCGUCUAUGCAGACGCCGGGGGCUCGGGUUCCCGCGUCUCUGUAACGCUCUCCGCCAGCUUCCGGAGCGGCGUGGGGGUCGGGGGCCUGGCGGCGGGGAUGGCCAGGGGUCUGGCAGGAAUGGGAGGCAUCCAGAACGAGAAGGAGACCAUGCAAAUCCUGAACGACCGCCUGGCCUCCUACCUGGACAGAGUCAGGAGCCUGGAGACCGAGAACCGGAAGCUGGAGAGCCAAAUCCGGGAGCACCUGGAGAAGAAGGAACCCCAGGUCAGAGACUGGGGCCAUUACUUCAAGACCAUCGAGGACCUGAGGGCUCAGAUCUUCUCAAAUACUGUGGACAAUGCCCGCAUCGUUCUGCAGAUUGACAAUGCUCGUCUUGCUGCUGAUGACUUUAGAGUCAAGUAUGAGACAGAGCUGGCCAUGCGCCAGUCUGUGGAGAGCGACAUCCAUGGUCUCCUCAAGGUCAUCGAUGACACCAAUGUCACUUGGCUGCAGCUGGAGACAGAGAUCGAGGCUCUCAAGGAGGAGCUGCUCUUCAUGAAGAAGAACCAAAUGGCCUACAAGCCCAGAUUGCCAGCUCUGGGUUGACCACGGAGGUAGAUGCCCCCAAAUCUCAGGAUCUCGCUAAGAUCAUGGCAGAAAUCUGGGCUCAAUAUGACGAGCUGGCUCAGAAGAACCGAGAGGAGCUGGGCAAGUACUGGACUCAGCUGAUUGAGGAGAGUAACACAAUAGUCACCACACAGUCCACUGAGGUUGAAGCUGCUGAGAUGACGCUCACAGAGCUGAGACAUACAGUCCAGUCCUUGGAGAUCGACCUGGACUCCAUGAAAAAUACGAAGAUCAGCUUGGAGAACAGCCUGAGGGAGGUGGAGGCCCGCUACGCCCUGCAGAUGGAGCAGCUCAACAGGAUCCUGCUGCACCUGGAGUCAGAGCUGGCACAGACCCGGGCAGAGGGACAGCGCCAGGCCCAGGAGUACUAGGCUCUGUUGAACAUCAAGGUCAAGCUGGAGGCUGAGAUCGCCACCUACCGCCGCCUGCUGGAAGAUGGGGAGGACUUCAGUCUCAGUGAUGCCUUGAACAGCAGUAACUCCAUGCAAACCAUCCAAAAGACGACCACCCGCGGGAUAGUGGAUGGCAAAGUGGUGUCUGAGACCAACGACACCAAAGUUCUGAGACAUUAGGCCAGCAGAAGCAGGGGACCCUUGAGGGAGCAGGAGGCCAAUAAAAAGUUCAGAGGUCAAAAAAAAAAAAAAA